UAGGGAAUCUUCGGCAAUGGGGGGAACCCUGAUCGAGCAACGCCGCGUGAGUGAAGAAGGUUUUCGGAUCGUAAAGCUCUGUUGUUAAGGAAGAACGAGUGUGAGAAUGGAAAGUUCAUACUGUGACGGUACUUAACCAGAAAGGGACGGCUAACUACGUGCCAGCAGCCGCGGUAAUACGUAGGUCCCGAGCGUUGUCCGGAUUUAUUGGGCGUAAAGCGAGCGCAGGCGGUUAGAUAAGUCUGAAGUUAAAGGCAGUGGCUCAACCAUUGUAGGCUUUGGAAACUGUUUAACUUGAGUGCAGAAGGGGAGAGUGGAAUUCCAUGUGUAGCGGUGAAAUGCGUAGAUAUAUGGAGGAACACCGGUGGAGAAAGCGGCUCUCUGGUCUGUAACUGACGCUGGGGCUCGAAAGCGUGGGGAGCGAACAGG
rnacentral:rRNA from 1 species